rnacentral:rRNA from 1 species
UGGGGAAUCUUGCGCAAUGGGCGAAAGCCUGACGCAGCGACGCCGCGUGGGGGAAGAAGGCUUUCGGGUUGUAAACCCCUUUCAGAAGGGACGAAGCUACUCGGGUUAAUAGCCCAGAGGGUGACGGUACCUUCAGAAGAAGCCCCGGCUAACUACGUGCCAGCAGCCGCGGUAAUACGUAGGGGGCAAGCGUUGUCCGGAUUUAUUGGGCGUAAAGAGCGUGUAGGCGGCUUGGUAGGUCCGUUGUGAAAACUCGAGGCUCAACCUCGAGACGCCGAUGGAAACCACCAAGCUAGAGUCCGGAAGAGGAGAAUGGAAUUCCUGGUGUAGCGGUGAAAUGCGCAGAUAUCAGGAAGAACACCCGUGGCUAAGGCGGUUCUCUAGUACGGUACUGACGCUGAGACGCGAAAGCGUGGGGAGCGAACAGGAUUAGAUACCCCUGUAGUCC